CACAAUCGCCAGACUUUUGAGGAAUGUCACCUGUGAGCUGAGCAUUUAAGCCCAGCUCUGACACUCAGUCAGUGCGAGCUUCCUCCCCAGCACUUUGCAACUGUCGCUGCUGUGGCCUGCAUCAAGCGCUUUGGAACAUCGAUCAGUGAGGCGUCCAUCUACCUUCGCACUGAAUCAGUGGAGACAUCACUGCAGAAUGUUACACUGCAAACCAAAGUGUGGAAGACCCUGAAGAUGGUGUCCAUUGAUUCAGAUGGCUGUUUCAGGACCCAUCAAUCCAGCAGCACAAGGAUCCUCGAGACGCCGGCGCCGUUCAUGGUUUCCAGCAAACCAAAAAGACCCCCACCAGGCUUUUAAUCACAGACACUAUACACUUUGAUUUCACACAAUUUUAUCUUGUUAUUACAAGUUUUGUAAAAUAAAUUAUAUUUCUAACAUUCUAACUAUGAGUGUGUGUGUGUGUGUGUGUGUGUGUGUGUGUGUGUGUGUGUGUGUGUGUGUGUGUGUGUGUGUUUUUCAGAUGCAGGUUUCUGUGUACUCAGAUGAGCCCCUGGAAGUUUACAUCUCAGAUCGUGACUGUGGAGCAUCAUACCUACCCCUCACCAGACUGGAGACAUGGGUUCCAGUGCCGCAUUCUUCCUGGAUUAGAGACUCUAGACAGCAGUGAUUCCUGAAUGUUAUCAAGACACUGUAGACAAGAGGACUGUCCAGUUUCUGGAUCAGAUCAGAAGAUGUUCGUCAAAGGAAGCCUUGAGAGGAAGUACAGCAGGACCAGUCAACACAUCAGGACUCAUGAAGAGAAGAUCUGUGCCAUCUAAUCAUCACAGUUCAAGCCAUAAUUAAUGUUGUCAUCAUUGUCAGUACCGUUGCUGCCAUUGGUGAUUUGACUGUAAAGAAGACUAGUUUCUCACCAUCCAUGAUACAUCACCAUCACUGGACUUUGCCUUCAGCAUUUAUUUUCUUCAGCAGUAGCAUCACCACUGCCUUCAUCAUCACAAUCUUAGCCACGGACCCAAGAUCAUCAGAGACAUCAGGACUCACGAAGAGGAGAUCAGUGCCGUCAUCACAGUUCAAGUCAUCGUCAGUGUCGUCAUCAGUAUUAUCGUUAUCAUCACUGUGUUUUAGACUGUGAGGAAGACUGAACAGACUCACCAGUCAUCAGUCAUGAACCAUCACUGGACAUUGUCAUCAUCAGAUUUUUGUUUUCAUCAGCAGGAGCAGCAUCACCACCAACAUCAUCCUCAUCUAGAUCUCAGUUAUCAUCAUCAGCUUAGCCAUGGACAGAGUCAGAAGAUGUUAAUUCAUUUCAUCAUCACACAACAAGCUGUCAACCAGCUCAGUGUUCUAGGAGUGAAUCUGCUUUUUGUAAUAUACUUGGACUCUUUACUGAGAUCCCACUAGAAGGCUUCCCAGCCUGGGUUCUAGACUGUUGGCUGUAGUUACAGUUCUGCUAUUUGUCUAUAACUAACAGUCUGGCACCCAUGCUCGGACUAAUCAUCAUUCAGAUGAGAUUUUGACUUUGAUAAGUAACAAAAUUUAAGAUCAUAUUUAUUUACUGGCAACCAUAAAUAGUGCAAUGUUUCAGCAGCCUAUAAAUAACCUUUAAUUCAUUGAUGUGGAUUGUUGUGUAAAUCGUAUUUGCACCAUAUUUAUUAUUAUUAUUUAUUAUAUAUUAUAUAAAUUAUAUAUUAUUUGAAACAUUAUCUAUAAAAAGGAUGUAAAGCACAUUUUUUAAUUUCAUAACUGCUGUAAAGAUAUGAAUUAAUUUUAAACAAGAUUAUCUUUUUUUUUUCAACAAGACAUUGUCAGGUGGUGCAGAUAAUAUUUAAUCAAAUUUACUACUGCUUACAACAUGUAUGAAGGCGAUUUUGUACUCAGACACCAGUUUCUAACUUUGUUCUUAAACUGGUGUUUAUGAUGAGCAACUUCUAACUGUCUUACAGUUUGCAAGCCUCAGGUCUAACUGUGUUAACUCUACAUACCUGUGUAGUGACAUUUUACAUGUCCCUGCAUUGAAUGCAGUUUGAAGAAGAAAUAAUACCAGAAAACAGGACAUUAUGUAGAUGAUAAUGUAGUUCCAGUUUAAGAUUAAACAUGUAAAUAAGGUAUGUCCAUGCCAUUUAACUAAACUGUUUUUUAUUGAGUUUAGGUAGCUUAUCAGUGUAAUUUGAAGCAAAUUAAAGAUUUUGGCAUGUAUUUAUAAAAA